rnacentral:lncRNA from 1 species
ACAUUGCAUUUCAUGCUGCAGGUACAAGUACUCAACUAAUAGAUCUCCCCAAUAGAAGCACAUGAUACUCAACGGUUGCUGGUGAGCUCCAGGUUGAUUCGAGGCUUUGCUGAGUCUUUACUAUGCGUAUUUUCCUAGUUGUACAGUCAUGGAUUCCAAUAGAGGUUUUGUAGACAUUGUAAAGCUAUCAUCUGUAUUCAUAGUUUCACUUGUCACAUGUAUCGGUUCAGCUAGUCGACAUGUAUUGUAUACAAAACUUCUCAUUAGUAAAUCUAUUUGCAUAGUAGUUUACUUCAUCAUAGGUCACUUGUAAAGCAUGUGUUCAUA